UGCUGAGCCACCAGGCGUCCCUAUAGUAUAUUUAUAUAAUUGAAAAUAUUAAUUAUAUUUUAUAUAUUUAAAUACUUAUUUAAGUAUUUAAUACUUUAAAUACUUUAUAGUAUAUAUAUAUUAAAUAUAUCAGUAUUUUUGAUAUCAAAUAAACAUACUGAUAUUUUUAAGUAUAUAGUUUCUUUGGAUUAGAGAACAGCAUGCAGAGUUCAAAUUCAUGUGUGACUUACUCAUGGCCUUUUAUAUCAACUAGAGAAACAGUGAAAUCACACAUUCAGCAGGCACCUGUGUGACUUUUCGUCCCAUAGGCUGUUAGCAGUUAACUUCAGAUCCCAUUCUUCACUGCCCCCAACUGUAAAAGAAAUGAUCAAAGAAGAUGAUUUAGGAGAUAACGAACAUACUUUUUAGUUAACACUUCAUGAAGGAGACACAAAGAACUGCACAAUAGGUCAGAAGGCAGGAAGCUUUUAUAGGGUAAAGAAUAAAGAACAAGGAAGGGACAAAUAGAUAGCCUGGGGGCAUGUCAACUUGUUUGGGGUGAGAAGGCCCAGGGUUGACUUGGUGCCUGAGGGGAUUGGUGGACUGGUUGUACUGCAUUUUUGGUCAGAGAGUUUACAGGGACACAAAGUUAUCCAAGUUUUGGUUUGCUUCCAUGACACCCUGAUUGGGAGCAGCUCCAUCUUGGGCCUAGAAAAUUAUUUCAACACUCUCUUUGAUUUUCAGCAAUUUGACUAUGAUAUGUAUAGAUACUAUUUGAUGGAGAUCAGAACUUCUGAGUCAUAUAGCAUUUGCUUGUCUUAUAUUUCUUUAAAGGUAAGCACAUUUUUCAUUACAUUCAUAAGAUAAAUCUUUAAAUUACUUGUUUUGUAGAUGUGUCAUUGAUAAUUCAUAUCAUACAGUCUACUUGAACAUUCAGGUUCACUGUCUGCUUUCUGGUACUACUUAAUAGUAAAGAGUAUUCUGAAUUCUUGUGUGCUGCUUCAUGCUGUUUUGAGGGUUAUGGAAUUAUUUUGGGCAGGGGUAGAGAUGAGCAAAGGGGAUUAAAAUAUGUUCAAAACUAACUUAAAUGCCAGAUGGCUUAUAGUCACUAUUUCAUUUAUCUUAAUCACUUAAUGCUAGGUGAUCUUAUGCCCAUGUUAUAUAGAAGGGACCUGUGAGUCAGAUUAAGUAACUUCCCAGUGUCAUAGAAUUUCAAAAUAGAAUUCAAGACUCAUACAUAUGCGAUUUUUAGUUUACACAUGAUGAAGCCUGCUGUUCUUCUUCUUUCUUUUCCUCCUUCUCUGAUUCUCUCUCUUUUUUCCUUUUCUUUUCCUUUCUACGUAUGAAAGCAAGCAAAAUCAGUUAAAUGAUCUCUGCUAAUCCUAGGAAGCAGUGGAGUGAAGAAAAAUAUACCUGGAAUGUCUUCAGGUUCCAAUUGAUAUGAUUUACUGACAUGUCUGCUGGCUGGGUUGUCAUUAUGCUACUUGGUUUAUGCUUCACCAAGCUAUUAUUUUUGCUUUUAUUACCAUACAACAACUAUGUUGAAAUGUAAUUAGCAAUUCUAGUCACUAAUUAUCUAAUCAGUACUAAUUAUUAGUUGGUUGGGUUUUCACACUGCAUAUGAUCCAGUGUUCUAUUAAAUGCUGUAGCAUACAAACUCUAUGUGAUUUUGUUUACAUUAAUAAAAUUAUAGUGUAUUAGAAAAAUAUGUACUUU
rnacentral:lncRNA from 12 species